AGGGGCUGGUUAGGGUUAGGUUCUACUGGGGGUUAGGGUUAGUGUUAGGUUCUGCUAAGGAUUAGGGUUAGGGGUUGGGUUAGGGUUGGGGCUCGGGUUAGGGUUAGGGUAGGGAUGCAGAGAAGGUUGGAUUGGAGAAGAGAACCCCAAAAAAAAAAGAAAAUAAAUGGCCAAAAAGAGGAAAGGAGUAAUACAGUUUGGAUCAGAACAAAGAAGAAAAAAUAGAAAAGAAAUUUUAUGGGGCGGC
rnacentral:lncRNA from 1 species